rnacentral:rRNA from 1 species
UACAGAGGUGGCAAGCGUUGUUCGGAAUUACUGGGCGUAAAGGGCGCGUAGGCGGUCCGAUAAGUCCUGUGUGAAAUCCCUCGGCUCAACUGAGGAACUGCACGGGAGACUGCCGGGCUUGAGUUCGGGAGAGGGAAGCGGAAUUCCGGGUGUAGCGGUGAAAUGCGUAGAUAUCGAGAGGAACACCAGUGGCGAAGGCGAGUCCCUGGACACUUCCUGACACUGAGGCACGAAAGCUAGGGGAGCAAACAGG